AUACGGAGGAUACGAGCGUUAUCCGGAUUUAUUGGGUUUAAAGGGUGCGCAGGCGGACCGUUAAGUCAGGGGUGAAAAGUUGGGGCUCAACUCCAAUCGUGCCUUUGAUACUGGCGGACUAGAGUGCAGGGGACGUGACUGGAAUGUGAUGUGAAGCGGUGAAAUGAUUAGAUAUGUCACAGAACGCCGAUCGUGAAGACAAGACACGAAUCCGCAAAUGACGCGCAUGAUCGAAAGCGUUAGGAGCAACCAGGAUUAGAUACCCUGGUAAUACACGCUGUAAAAAGUGAUCACUCGUUGUUUGCCGGCGACGGUCAGUGUCUAAACGACAGCGAUAAGUGAUCCACCGGGGGAGUACGAUCGCAAGGUUGAAACUCAAAUGAAUUGACGGGG
rnacentral:rRNA from 1 species